CGGGACACCCAGCCGCGGCUGGUAAUGGCAGGUCGGUGGUGGCUCGUUGGAGCCGCCGCCUCGCAGUUCCCAAAGUACCUUCACGUCCUCCUUUAGACCUCGGCUGCGGGGCGUGAGCUGCGCGCUCAGUGUUGUCCGCGCGGCCCCAAACCGAUAGUUUCCGUUCCCACGGUGUCAAUUUUCAUUCCUGCGCUGACUGCCAAAUCGCAUUUCAUUCAUUUCAUUCCUCAGAUCGCCGCUCCCCUUAACGAGCUGUAUAACCUUGGGAAAGUUGCUUAAUUUCUCUGAGCCUCAGUUUCCUCCAUCCCUUCGUAUCUGUAAGGAAAAAUAGCUCUCCAAAAUACAGUACUUUCAAAAGAGAAAAACCUACAUCUCCCAUGAUGCCUCAGAUCCGGAAGGAUGUGAGACUCGACUCCUCCCAUGAUUGCUUAUAGACCGGAAGCCGGGGCCUUAGUUCUCUUUCCCAACUUGCAAGGUAAGAAUGGUGGCGCUUCUCUGCAAGACUUGGUUUCAGAACCCCAAUCCUUCUCCAUCCGAACCUGGAGGGUAUCAAGUCGACACCUAUGGCGGGUGAAAAAGCCGGGAAGCCGGACACGAAGGAGAAGAAACCUGAAGCCAAGAAGGCUGAUGCUGGCGGCAAGGUUAAGAAGGCUAACCUCAAGGCCAAAACGCCUAAGAAGGGGAAGCCGCACUGCAGCCGAAACCCUGUCCUGGUCAGAGGAAUCGGCAGGUAUUCCCGCUCAGCCAUGUAUUCCCGAAAGGCCAUGUACAAGAGGAAGUACUCAGCAGCUAAAUCCAGGGUAA
rnacentral:lncRNA from 1 species